rnacentral:rRNA from 1 species
GACGAACGCUGGCGGCGUGCUUAACACAUGCAAGUCGAACGGUGAAGCGCCUUCCUUUUUGGUGGGUGUGGAUGAGUGGCGAACGGGUGAGUAACACGUGAGUAACCUGCCCCCUUCUUCUGGAUAACCGCAUGAAAGUGUGGCUAAUACGGGAUAUUCUGGUUCUGUCGCAUGAUGGGUCUGGGACAGAUAUUGUUUCGGUGGGGGAUGGGCUCGCGGCCUAUCAGCUUGUUGGUGGGGUGAUGGCCUACCAAGGCGGUGACGGGUAGCCGGCCUGAGAGGGUGGACGGUCACACUGGGACUGAGACACGGCCCAGACUCCUACGGGAGGCAGCAGUGGGGAAUAUUGCACAAUGGGCGCAAGCCUGAUGCAGCGACGCCGCGUGAGGGAUGGAGGCCUUCGGGUUGUGAACCUCUUUCGCCAGUGAAGCAGGCCUGCCUCGUUUGUGGGUGGGUUGACGGUAGCUGGAUAAGAAGCGCCGGCUAACUACGUG